UACGAAGGGGGCUAGCGUUGUUCGGAAUUACUGGGCGUAAAGCGCACGUAGGCGGAUAUUUAAGUCAGGGGUGAAAUCCCAGAGCUCAACCCUGGAACUGCCUUUGAUACUGGGUAUCUUGAGUAUGGAAGAGGUAAGUGGAAUUGCGAGUGUAGAGGUGAAAUUCGUAGAUAUUCGCAGGAACACCAGUGGCGAAGGCGGCUUACUGGUCCAUAACUGACGCUGAGGUGCGAAAGCGUGGGGAGCAAACAGG
rnacentral:rRNA from 1 species